GUCCAUGCCGUAAACGUUGGGAACUAGAUGUAGGGACCAUUCCACGGUUUCUGUGUCGCAGCUAACGCAUUAAGUUCCCCGCCUGGGGAGUACGGCCGCAAGGCUAAACUCAAAGGAAUUGACGGGGCCCGCACAAGCGGCGGAGCAUGCGGAUUAAUUCGAUGCAACGCGAAGAACCUUACCAAGGCUUGACAUAUACCGGAAAUGGCUAGAAAUAGUCCCCCCGCAAGGUCGGUAUACAGGUGGUGCAUGGUUGUCGU
rnacentral:rRNA from 1 species